AGAACGAACGCUGGCGGCAGGCUUAACACAUGCAAGUCGAGCGCCCCGCAAGGGGAGCGGCGGACGGGUGAGUAACACGUGGGAACAUGCCUUUUGGUACGGAACAACUCAGGGAAACUUGAGCUAAUACCGUAUGUGCCGGUAACGGGAAAGAUUUAUCGCCAAAAGAGUGGCCCGCGUCCGAUUAGCUAGUUGGUGAGGUAACGGCCCACCAAGGCUCCGAUCGGUAGCUGGUUUGAGAGAACGACCAGCCACACUGGGACUGAGACACGGCCCAGACUCCUACGGGAGGCAGCAGUGGGGAAUCUUGGACAAUGGGGGCAACCCUGAUCCAGCCAUGCCGCGUGAGUGAUGAAGGCCUUCGGGUUGUAAAACUCUUUCGACGGGGACGAUAAUGACGGUACCCGUAGAAGAAGCUCCGGCUAACUUCGCGCCAGCAGCCGC
rnacentral:rRNA from 1 species